rnacentral:pre_miRNA from 1 species
UUAAUACUCCCUCCGUCCCAAAAUUCUUGUCUUAGAUUUAUCUAGACAUGAAUGUAUCUAGUCAUAUUUUAGUAUUUAAAUACAUUCAUUUUUAGACAAACCUAAGACAAGAAUUUUGAGACGGAGGGAGUACUCU